GAAAUAUUCAAAUACGGCGUCGGUAACGCCACCCAUCGCCACCCACCGCCGCCCCCGUCGCCCCCGGUAAUCCGUCGGUACAUACAACUCGCGUGAUACCGGCAGGGGCGACGGGGGCGGCGGUGGGUGGCGUUACUGACGCCGUAUUUGAAUAUUUCGGCUAGUGGUGAUUGUUGUGAAUCGUCGCGAGUGCGGAACAGGUCGACUUGGAGUACUGGAGCAGUGUCGAGUCGCGUAUAAUUCCGUAUAGCCGUGAAUAGUCUCGAUCUCGUCAUCCGCGUAAUAAAGAGUAAGUACACGGCUUCUUUACAUACGUUGGCGAUGCGUUCAAGCGACCGCGAAUGCCGAUCCCCCCUCCUCCCCUCGCGGUGCCGUACAUCGUUGGGAAGGAUGCGUUGGGAAGAAUGCGUUGAAAAGAAACACGAUGCUCUUGAUCGGAAUGACUUGUGUAAAGGGCCGAUUCUACGUAAGGGGAACGCGGGUGGCAGGUUGCGAACGCGGAUGCACAUGCAUCGACAUCAGAGGUUAACUCGCCCGAAAUCUUUCGCGUCAAUGCCGUGCGCCGGUUGCAUCGCGGCGUCGGUCGGUGAUGACGAGCGGGUCGGUGAGGUUAAUUCGCGGGUGGAUUGCCUAGCAUCGCACUAUCGCGUCUAAAUCCUAUUCUUCUCGUCGCGAUGUAUGUCUGUCGAAGUACAUGAUUGAGUACCGUGUCAAAGUGUCCGAUAUUCUACCUCUGGACUUUUCACGGGAUGUCGUCGGGUGUCCUGCAUUUCGUUCUACCUGGACUUCGUCGGCAUUGCGUGAGAUUGACGUCGUUGCUACAACUCCGUUGCUGCACAUCGCAUUGUGUUGAAUGCAAUGGGCAAAUGUGAGAGGAUGAGCGGACUUGGAAAGCAUCAGCCGACGUCGGAACAACCAUGGUGAGUGAAUUAUUGUUUUAUUUUAUUAAUCUUUCGCGCUCUAAAUUAUAUCUCGCGAGUGAACACCGUUAACGUUCCACAUUCAUUAACAUCUUUUUCCGCAAUGUUUUCCAUUGCGAAUGGCUCGUCGGAGGAACCGGUGCACGCCGAUUCCGAACGGCAGAUAUCGGCCGGCGACGAGGGCAUGAAAAAGUUUAUUCCGCGCUUGCAAAAAUCGCGUGGAUCGUCGCGCACGGCCCGUGCAUAGGAAACGAGGAUGCGUUUUAGCGACGGCGUCGGUUAAUUAACGUCGGCAUUGCUUCGGCUAGCACUCUUGUAACAGCGAGAUCGCGAGAUGCGAUAGCGGUCACACCGACCGCGAAAGAUCCUCUUCUUCCUUCGCUUCCUCGCCAUUCUUUUUUCCCCUCCUUGCCUUGCUUAUCCUCCCGCUUCUCUCUCGAUCGCGGCAAGCGGUGAUCCUCCACAACGGGUCGUGCAUCGAUAAAUUUCGGAAUUGGCGCCUCUGUCGAUCCCGGGUCCACCUAAUUAAGCGGUUUGCCCCAUAAUUAUAGUCAAUUAACGUCAAACUCAGUCGACAGCGUCGAAACCGCUAUCGCUCCAAGAUUGCUCGAUAUUACGCGCACCUAUACGCGCGCGAGCGUCCACGUGUCUCUCAUCUUAAUAUUAUCAGG